rnacentral:rRNA from 1 species
UUAAAUUGAAGAGUUUGAUCAUGGCUCAGAUUGAACGCUGGCGGCAGGCCUAACACAUGCAAGUCGAACGGUAACAGAAAGCAGCUUGCUGCUUUGCUGACGAGU